AUUUCUCCCAGCCAGGCUAUGUUAGCUGCAGGGCCAGGCAGAAACCGUCUCCAGGUGGCACCUCAGCGUCCUCAUGCUGUGCUUCUCCUCAUGUCCAAACCUUUUAGAGAAGGACACGUUGAAUGUAUCAUUGUAAAAAUGCUUUGUUUGCAGGCAAAGCAAGCAGCAGCUGGAGGAGGAGCAGAAGAAAGCACUGUAUGGUUUGGAAGCUGCGGAGGACGUGGAGGAGUGGCAAGUCGUCUGUGGGAAGUUUCUGGCCAUCAAUGCCACAAACAUGUCCUGUGCUUGUCGCCGGAGCCCCAGGGGCCUCUCCCCGGCUGCCCACUUGGGAGAUGGGUCUUCUGACCUCAUCCUCAUCCGGAAAUGCUCCAGGUUCAAUUUUCUGAGAUUUCUCAUCAGGCACACCAACCAGCAGGACCAGUUUGACUUCACUUUUGUUGAAGUUUAUCGCGUCAAGAAAUUCCAGUUUACGUCGAAGCACAUGGAGGAUGAGGACAGCGACCUCAAGGAGGGGGGGAAGAAGCGCUUUGGGCACAUUUGCAGCAGCCACCCCUCCUGCUGCUGCAC
rnacentral:sRNA from 1 species